AAGCAUACCGUACGGUGGGGGAGCUGGAAUAAGAAUCGAGAAUUAAAGUGUGUGCCAAGGUACUGCUCUUGAAGAUGGACAUUUCCCAAACACGAUGCGGUGAACCCUCAGCAUCCUCCACGUAGCCAGUUCUAAAUUUGGGACCACAGACAUAUCAAAUGGCACCUGCUGUAUUCCAGACAGGGGCUUUCUGCAGCAAAGACAUCAUUAAUUUUACACGUAAUUAUGGGAGCCAAGUGCUAAAAU
rnacentral:sRNA from 1 species